UACAGAGGUCCCAAGCGUUGUUCGGAUUCACUGGGCGUAAAGGGUGCGUAGGCGGUCGGGUAAGUCUGAUGUGAAAUCUCACAGCUUAACUGUGAAACUGCAUUGGAUACUAUCCGGCUCGAGGAAUGGAGGGGAGACUGGAAUACUUGGUGUAGCAGUGAAAUGCGUAGAUAUCAAGUGGAACACCAGUGGCGAAGGCGAGUCUCUGGACAUUUCCUGACGCUGAGGCACGAAAGCCAGGGGAGCGAACGGG
rnacentral:rRNA from 1 species